CUGGAAAGAUGGACUUGUUUAUUCUGAGAUUUAUACACCUCGGCAGGCACAUGUAGCCGGUUGGACACAUAAACAUGACACUGUGAGAUCAUCACAGUGAUACUGUGAGGCAGGCAGGGCAGGGACGAUCGGGCCCCUCCUGCAGAUGAGGGGGCCCUCAGCAACGUCGAGACACCUGCCAGGCAAUAGUCUGCAUGGGCAGAGCCAGGAGGCCACCGGCACCUGCUGACAUAUCAUGCUGCCUCUCAGGAUACGGACGAAAGAAGAGAGGAAGGAAACCAGGAUCUUAAAAGACAAAAAGACACCAAGAGUGCUUGUGUGCAGAGGGAAGAUCUUGCAAGGGCACACUGGAGGAGACAGCCAUCUGCAAACCAGAGAGAGAGGCCUCAGGAGGCACCAAACCUGCCGACCCCUGCUCUGUGACAUCCAGCCUCCAGAACUGUCCCUGAGCAACGGGAUGUGACGAGCCCCUGUUAUCCUGGACCUCCCCACUAGUCUCCCAUCUCCAGAACAAUCCGCGUUCCAGCUUCCUCCCCGGGUGAGACACUAUAAACAUGUACCAGGGAACAGGGGGAAGGAGGUGGCAUGAAAAGUAAAGGAAAUGUCCCAGAUGGAUCCAAA